rnacentral:lncRNA from 1 species
CUUGCUCGCCCGGCGCAAGGAGCGGGUCGCCGGCGAGCGGCGGCCGGCGGUACGGAGCCGGAGGGAGCGGGAGCUGGCUGGCGCGCCGGGGAAGAGGAGUCGGCCCUGGGAACCCGGCCUCUGGGCCGUCGAUUGCGGCGGCGAGAGGGAGGCCGCAGCGGCAGCGCAGGCGGCGGCCAUAGAGGAAGCCAUGGGCGGUGACGGCGGAGCGGAGGCAGAAGAAGACCAGACGACGAGACAGUAGACAGAAAACAAAGGGAGUUGCGGCCUUUAGUAAUCCCCCUUUUUUUUAGUUUCAUCAAACAAAAUCAGUUUGGUUUUUUUUUUUGGAAUUUUUUGAGGCCUCAAACUGCGGCUCGUUCUUCUUGUGGCAAUAGGAAGGAAGGAGGAGAUCAAACUAGGACAAACGCCGACAGCAAUGCCUGAGGCCAGGGC